UUGCACCAAAUUCCUAGUAUAAAUAUGUAUAUAUGUAUAUACAAGUGGCGAUCAAAAUUAGAGAACAACACACAAUUUCCGAAAUGUCAAGGUCAUAGUGUAGUCCUAUGUGAAUAUAUCCUAACAUGAGUACAAUAGCAGUAUUUUA